AAGGAUAAUGUUGGAUCAGUGUUUCAAUAUUUUAUAUCUUUUAUUAGAUGUUCAUGUGGUUUGGUUAUUUGCCUUUUGGUUGAAAGUACACUGAGAGAGGACUUUUCGUUAGUGAUCUUAAUAAUUUUUUUUUUCACAUGAAUGUAAUUUUUUCAUCUAAUUGAAUACAAUCUAUUUGUGUAUGAUUGUCAGUCCAAAGAGGGAGAGAGGAAAGAGGGGAACGUGAGGAGAAAGUACAAGGUCAGGAAGAACCAGAUCACCAUUGUGAUGAACCAGAAUGAACCCCUCAGUUUCUUGCACCGUCACAAUGAGGCUUUUUCCACCGAGCCUCUGAAAAACACUGGCAAAGGAGCUCCUCUGGGCUUUUACCACGUCCAGAAUAUUUCUGUCGAAGUUACAGAGUCUUUUAUUGAGAACAUCAAGAGCAAGCCCGUCGUGUUUGAAGUGUUCAGCCACUACCAGCAGCACCCGCUGCACCUCCAUGGCCAGGACGUGAACAGCAUCCAGGAAAUACUAUCCUAUUCCCAUCCGUUGCUUAGAAACUGUCCUGAGGAGACAGCUUCAGGAUCAAUGACAUGUCAUUCACACCAAUGAAGACUUCCAGCCACCAAGUUGAACACCAUCACCAAAUCCAACCUGGGUCAGUGUGUCAGCAAGUACGACCUGCUGGUCUGGUUUGAGAUCAGCGAGUUGGAGCCCACUGG